rnacentral:rRNA from 13 species
CCUAUUCUCAAACUUUAAAUGGGUAAGAACUCGGGGUUGCUUAAUUGAACCCUGCGGUCGAAUCUCGGUUGCUAGUGGGCCAGUCCGGGUAAGCUGGACUGGCGAUGCGGGAUGAUCCGAACGCUGAGUUAAAGUGCCUAACUGCUCGCUCACCUAGAUCCCACAAAAGGCGUUGGUUCAUUUAGACAGCAGGACGGUGGUCAUGGAAGUCGAAAUCCGCUAAGGAGUGUGUAACAACUCACCUGCCGAAUCAACUAGCCCCGAAAAUGGAUGGCGCUGAAGCGCGCAACCUAUACUCGACCGUCGGAGCAAUUGCCUGGCUCCGAUGAGUAGGAGGACGCGGGGGUCGUUGAGAAACCUCGGGCGUGAGCUUGGGUGGAUCGGCCCCCGGUGCAGAUCUUGGUGGUAGUAGCAAAUAAUCGAAUGAGAUCUUGGAGGACUGAAGUGGAGAAGGGUUUCGUGUGAACAGUGGUUGAUCACGAGUUAGUCGGUCCUAAGCCUUAUGCGAAAGCUGU